rnacentral:rRNA from 1 species
CCGGCACGGGUGAGUAACACGUAUCCAACCUGCCGUCUACUUUUGGCCAGCCUUCUGAAAGGAAGAUUAAUCCAGGAUGGCAUCAUGAGUUCACAUGUCCGCAUGAUUAAAGGUAUUUUCCGGUAGACGAUGGGGAUGCGUUCCAUUAGAUAGUAGGCGGGGUAACGGCCCACCUAGUCUUCGAUGGAUAGGGGUUCUGAGAGGAAGGUCCCCCACAUUGGAACUGAGACACGGUCCAA